rnacentral:rRNA from 1 species
UAGGGAAUAUUGCAAAAUGGGCGCAAGCCCGAUGCAGCAACGCCGCGUGGGCGAUGAAGGCCUUCGGGUCGUAAAGCCCUUUUUGAGGGGAUGAGGAAGGACAGUACCCUCAGAAUAAGCCUCGGCUAACUACGUGCCAGCAGCCGCGGUAAAACGUAGGAGGCGAGCGUUAUCCGGAUUUACUGGGCGUAAAGCGCGUGCAGGCGGAUUGGAGAGUUGGAUGUAAAAGCUCCCGGCUUAACUGGGAGAGGUCGUUCAAUACUUCCAGUCUUGAGUGCAGUAGAGGGAAGUGGAAUUCCGGGUGUAGUGGUGAAAUGCGUAGAUAUCCGGAGGAACACCAGUGGCGAAAGCGGCUUCCUGGACUGUAACUGACGCUCAGACGCGAAAGCUAGGGUAGCAAACG